GCCUUUUGGCUAAGAUCAAGUGUAGUAUCU
rnacentral:piRNA from 3 species